UGGGAACGUGCCUUUUGGUUCGGAACAACACAGGGAAACUUGUGCUAAUACCGGAUAAGCCCUUACGGGGAAAGAUUUAUCGCCAUUGGAUGGGCCCGCGUCGGAUUAGCUAGUUGGUGAGGUAACGGCUCACCAAGGGCAACGAUCCGUAGCUGGUCUGAGAGGAUGAUCAGCCACACUGGGACUGAGACACGGCCCAGACUCCUACGGGAGGCAG
rnacentral:rRNA from 1 species